UAGUAGAACUACUAUACUUUUGGAAGUACAAGAGUUUUGUUACUUCCGACUUUUAAUUCUUAGAUUAACUUCUUUGACCAUUUCUGAUUUUUGGAUUAAUAUUAUUAUCUUAGAGAGACCACUCAAUUCUAGGGGGACCACUAUCAUCUCGACCAUACAGUCCUUAAUUCAAGGGCAAAAAAGUCGGAAGCACCAUCUCCUUCAUACUUCUAAAAGUAUAGUAAAUUCCUAAACCCUAGACUGUGUAGAGUUUCUAUAGUUUCGGAAGCGUAAGAGAGUUGGUACUUCUGACUUUUUGGCUCUUAAAUCAAUAAUUGAACAGUCGGGAUGAUAGUUAUCUCCUCUAAAGUUGAGUGGUUCGUUUAGGGUAAUAACAUUAAUCCAAAGGUCAGAAAUAGUCAAAAGAGUUGAUCCAAGAGCCAAAAAGUACAAACUUUUUUAUAUUUUCAAUAGCAUAGUAACUCUACUUUCUUAUAUACACACACGCACUUUUAAUUAAGCAUCUGAAAUCCAACGGCUAAUUAUAUCUCUUGACAUUUUUAUCCAUUUUCUUUUUUCAA
rnacentral:lncRNA from 1 species